rnacentral:rRNA from 1 species
GAUGAACGCUGGCGGCGUGCUUAACACAUGCAAGUCGAACGGUGAACGAGGGAGCUUGCUCCCUCCGGAUCAGUGGCGAACGGGUGAGUAACACGUGAGCAAUCUGCCCUGGACUCUGGGAUAAGCGUUGGAAACGACGUCUAAUACCGGAUACGAGGCGUGGGGGCAUCCCCAACGCCUGGAAAGAACUUCGGUCCAGGAUGAGCUCGCGGCCUAUCAGCUAGUUGGUGAGGUAACGGCUCACCAAGGCGACGACGGGUAGCCGGCCUGAGAGGGUGACCGGCCACACUGGGACUGAGACACGGCCCAGACUCCUACGGGAGGCAGCAGUGGGGAAUAUUGGUCAAUGGACGCAAGUCUGAACCAGCCAUGCCGCGUGCAGGAUGACGGUCCUAUGGAUUGUAAACUGCUUUUGUACGAGAAGAAACACUCCUUCGUGAAGGAGCUUGACGGUAUCGUAAGAAUAAGGAUCGGCUAACUCCGUGCCAGCCGCCGCAGUAAAAC